rnacentral:rRNA from 1 species
GUGAGGAAUAUUGGUCAAUGGACGAGAGUCUGAACCAGCCAAGUCGCGUGAAGGAAGACGGUUCUAUGAAUUGUAAACUUCUUUUGUGCAGGAAUAAAGUGGGUUACGUGUAACCUUUUGUAUGUACUGUACGAAUAAGGAUCGGCUAACUCCGUGCCAGCAGCCGCGGUAAUACGGAGGAUCCGAGCGUUAUCCGGAUUUAUUGGGUUUAAAGGGUGCGUAGGUGGAUUGAUAUGUCAGCGGUGAAAGUUUGCAGCAUAACUGUAAAAUUGACGUUGAAACUGUCGGUCUUGAGUGCAAAUGAGGUAGGCGGAAUGUGUUGUGUAGCGGUGAAAUGCUUAGAUAUAACACAGAACUCCGAUUGCGAAGGCAGCUUACUGGGAUGCAACUGACACUGAUGCACGAAAGCGUGGGUAUCAAACAGGAAUAGAAACCCUUGUAGUCC